GUAGUCCACGCCGUAAACGAUGUCUACUAGCCGUUGGGGGACUGGAUCCUUUAGUGGCGAAGCUAACGCGAUAAGUAGACCGCCUGGGGAGUACGGUCGCAAGAUUAAAACUCAAAUGAAUUGACGGGGGCCCGCACAAGCGGUGGAGCAUGUGGUUUAAUUCGACGCAACGCGAAGAACCUUACCAGGUCUUGACAUGUACGGAAGCUUCCAGAGACGGAAGUGUGCCUUCGGGAACCGUAACACAGGUGCUGCAUGGCUGUCGUCAGCUCGUGUCGUGAGAUG
rnacentral:rRNA from 1 species